GCGGAAGGAUCAUUAAAGAGUAAGGGUCUCUGGCCCGAACCUCCAACCCUCUGUUGUUAUAACUACUUCGUUGCUUUGGCGGGACCGCAAGGUUUCCACCGAGCGCGCCGGUCUUCGGACAGGCGAGCGCCCGCCAGAGUCUAACCAAACUCUUGUUUUAAACCAGUCGUCUGAGUAUAAAAUUUUAAUUAAAUUAAAACUUUCAACAACGGAUCUCUUGGUUCUCGCAUCGAUGAAGAACGCAGCGAAAUGCGAUAAGUAAUGUGAAUUGCAGAAUUCAGUGAAUCAUCGAAUCUUUGAACGCACAUUGCGCCCCUUGGUAUUCCGAGGGGCAUGCCUGUUCGAGCGUCAUUACACCACUCAAGCACUGCUUGGUAUUGGGCACUCGUCCGUCGAAAGACGGGCGUGCCUCGAAGACCUCGGCGGGGUUUCUCCAACUUCGGGCGUAGUAGAGUUAAAUCAAAACGUCUUAUAAGCUUGGUGAGAUCUCAUGCCGUUAAACCUUUUUUUUUUCAGGUUGACCUCGGAUCAGGUAGGGAUACCCGCUGAAC
rnacentral:rRNA from 1 species